UACGGAGGGCGCAAGCGUUUUUCGGAAUUACUGGGCGUAAAGCGCGUGUAGGCGGCCAGGUAAGUCGGAUGUGAAAGCCCGGGGCCCAACCCCGAAACUGCACCCGAUACUGCCCGGCUGGAGUCCCGGAGAGGAUGGCGGAAUUUCCGGUGUAGAGGUGAAAUUCGUAGAUAUCGGAAGGAACACCAGUGGCGAAGGCGGCCAUCUGGACGGUGACUGACGCUGAGACGCGAAAGCGUGGGGAGCAAACAGG
rnacentral:rRNA from 1 species